AUUCCAUAUUCUAUUACUGGAUUUGUAGCCUUUCAGUUUGCAAACCUAAAUGGGAAAUCUGAGAUCAAGCAUGUUUCCAAGUGAUUUGUGUUUCUAAGGUAGAUUCUGAUAUGGAUCAUCUUGCUGUGUUUGUUUCAAAGUCUGCUAGUCACAGAAAAGUUGUGGAGUGGAAGACAUUUGUAAGUAGGCUUUCUAAUACUUCUAUUGUGAUGUUUUAACACUAAAAGGCAGUUGUUCUUUCUUAUUUGAAAGCUUUUGGCAUUGGUACCCUUCAUUAAAAGUAAGGGUAGCUGGGUGGUAAUGGUCAGUUUGUUUAGAAAUUGAUUAUUUUCACUUUUGCCUUGCUAGAUACUGUAAAGCUCUUCCUGAAAGCAACAGAAACAGAGAAUAUGGGUACUCUGUCGCAAUCAACUUCCAUUCUGAUGAACUAGUCACCCACAGAGGGUUUUACAUUGAAUACAAAGCCUUCAGUCACAUAGACCGUUGUAAUCCAGCACAGCGGAACUGUGGUGAUGGGAAGUGUAAGCACCAGUAUAAGACUUGUAAAGAUGAUGACAGCUGUGAGGAGGACAGUGAUGAAAACAACUGCUGUAAGUAUAUUUUUUUAGCUAUUUUCCAGAAGAUGGUGGAAAGCAGAAGCAGGACUAUGCUUAUUUUAAUGGAUAAAUGUAGUAUCUCUAUGUAUCUUUUUCACAGCACAAAGUACAAGUUUCAUUAUAGUGGGAAAAAAAACCCCAAGCAGAGUAUAACUUGUUCUUAGGAAAGCCUAGACAAGAAAUUAAUAAAGCAAAACCUAAGCUAACAGUGAUUUUAGUUAUAUGACCUAACUACAGCUUGCUGGUGAUUCUGUUAGAAGAGCACUUUAUCCAAACAACACCGAGAUCAAUACCAAAUAACAUAAGGGAGAGAGAUAUCAUAGCUUUUGACUUCUGCCCUUUGGCACAUGUAUGGUCUCCUUUUACUGUAGAUCCACAGUGGUUACAGACAUUGCUGGUGCUACUAAU
rnacentral:lncRNA from 1 species